UACGGAGGGGACUAGCGUUGUUCGGAAUUACUGGGCGUAAAGCGCACGUAGGCGGAUUUGUAAGUCAGGGGUGAAAUCCCGAGGCUCAACCUCGGAACUGCCUUCGAUACUGGAAGUCUUGAGUCCGGGAGAGGUGAGUGGAACUGCGAGUGUAGAGGUGAAAUUCGUAGAUAUUCGCAAGAACACCAGUGGCGAAGGCGGCUCACUGGCCCGAUACUGACGCUGAGGAGCGAAAGCGUGGGGAGCAAACAGG
rnacentral:rRNA from 1 species